UACGGGGGGGGCAAGCGGUUGUUCGGAUUCAUUGGGCGUAAAGGGUGCGUAGGCGGCGCGGUAAGUCGGGUGUGAAAUCUCGGAGCUUAACUCCGAAACUGCAUUCGAUACUGCCGUGCUUGAGGACUGGAGAGGAGACUGGAAUUUACGGUGUAGCGGUGAAAUGCGUAGAUAUCGUAAGGAAGACCAGUGGCGAAGGCGGGUCUCGUGGACAGUAACUGACGCUGAGGAGCGAAAGCGUGGGGAGCGAACAGG
rnacentral:rRNA from 1 species